rnacentral:misc_RNA from 1 species
GAUGAAGAACGCAGUGAAAUGCGAUAAGUAAUGUGAAUUGCAGAAUUCAGUGAAUCAUCGAAUCUUUGAACGCACAUUGCGCCCGCCAGUAUUCUGGCGGGCAUGCCUGUUCGAGCGUCAUUUCAACCAUCAAGCCCCCGGCUUGUGCUGGGGACCUGCGGCUGCCGCAGGCCCUGAAAAGCAGUGGCGGGCUCGCUGUCACACCGAGCGUAGUAGCAUACAUCUCGCUCUGGGCGUGCUGCGGGUUCCGGCCGUUAAACCACCUUCAUAACCCAAGGUUGACCUCGGAUCAGGUAGGAAGACCCGCUGAACUUAAGCAUAUCAAUAAGCGGAGGA